GCCACCCGUGCACGCUCUGCCAGGAGCACAGCGAGAUCUCGCGGAGGCUGGACGCGGUGUCGAGCUUUUCUCACGCCGCCGCGAUGUACCCGACGGCGAACUCGGCGCCGACGAUGACGCGCGACGGGCCGCCCCCGCCGGUGUACACGGCCACGGCGAGCGCGGCGGCGCCGUUGCCGGGGCAGGCGAACUCGAACUACUACACCGAGCCGCCGCGCGGGGAGCGGCAGCAAGGGUGCAGCGUGUAGACGGGACGGACGAGGAGGGGGGGCGCGACGGACGGACGACGACGUGUAUAGUUCUCACAGCUGAGUGUACCAUAAUAUCGAUUUUAUUUUUUUCGAAAGACGAAGCUCUGACGAUGACGCGUCGUCCCAGUCGCCCCGUCGCGGUUUAGGGUUUAGGGUUUAGGGUUUAGGGUUUAGGGUUUAGGGUUUAGGGUUUAGGGUUUAGGGUUUAGGGUUUAGGGUUUAGGGUUUAGGGUUUAGGGUUUAGGGUUUAGGGUUUAGGGUU
rnacentral:lncRNA from 1 species